rnacentral:rRNA from 1 species
UACGGAGGGGGCUAGCGUUGUUCGGAAUUACUGGGCGUAAAGCGUGCGCAGGCGGCUUCGCAAGUCAGACGUGAAAUCCCCGGGCUUAACCUGGGAAUGGCGUUUGAAACUACGGAGCUGGAGUGUGGCAGAGGGAGGUAGAAUUCCACGUGUAGCGGUGAAAUGCGUAGAUAUGUGGAGGAAUACCGAUGGCGAAGGCAGCCUCCUGGGCCAACACUGACGCUCAUGCACGAAAGCGUGGGGAGCAAACAGG